rnacentral:rRNA from 1 species
AGAUUGAACGCUGGCGGCAUGCCUUACACAUGCAAGUCGAACGGUAAAGGAGCAAUCCUUGAGAGUGGCGAACGGGUGAGUAAUAUAUCGGAACGUGCCCAGUCGUGGGGGAUAACGUAGAGAAAUUUACGCUAAUACCGCAUACGAUCUACGGAUGAAAGCGGGGGACCGAAAGGCCUCGCGCGAUUGGAGCGGCUGAUAUCAGAUUAGGUUGUUGGUGAGGUAAAAGCUCACCAAGCCGACGAUCUGUAGCUGGUUUGAGAGAACGACCAGCCACACUGGGACUGAGACACGGCCCAGACUCCUACGGGAGGCAGCAGUGGGGAAUUUGGACAAUGGGCGAAAGCCUGAUCCAGCCAUGCCGCGUGCGGAAGAAGGCCUUCGGGUUGUAACCGCUUUUGUCAGGAAGAAACGGUCGAGCUAAUAUCUCGGACUAAUGACGGUACCUAGAAGAAUAAGCACCGGACUAACUACGU